AGCUAGCUUUGCAAUAUGGCGGCCGAGGCGGACGGACCGCUUAAACGGCUGCUCGUGCCGAUUCUUUUACCUGAGAAAUGCUACGACCAACUUUUCGUUCAGUGGGACUUGCUUCACGUCCCCUGCCUCAAGAUUCUCCUCAGCAAAGGCCUGGGGCUGGGCAUUGUGGCUGGCUCACUUCUAGUAAAGCUGCCCCAGGUGUUUAAAAUCCUGGGAGCCAAGAGUGCUGAAGGGUUGAGUCUCCAGUCUGUAAUGCUGGAGCUAGUGGCAUUGACUGGGACCAUGGUCUACAGCAUCACUAACAACUUCCCAUUCAGGCCCGCCUUUCUUCCUCCCAACUCUUGACUCUGCAGCUCUUGGGGUGAAGCCUUAUUCCUGAUGCUCCAGACGAUCACCAUCUGCUUCCUGGUCAUGCACUACAGAGGACAGACUGUGAAAGGUGCUGGGGACUUACCCAAGAGCAGGCUGUGUGGUUCCUGGGAACCCUGCUGGGAACUCAGGUCUGGGAAAGCCAAAUGAUGUGGAGAGAUUGACAAGGACUCCUGUCUCCCCACCCCUAGGUGUCGCUUUCCUCGCUUGCUACGGCCUGGUCCUUCUGGUGCUUCUCUCACCUCUGACGCCCUUGACUGUAGUCACCCUGCUCCAGGCCUCCAAUGUGCCUGCUGUGGUGGUGGGGAGGGUGGGUACCAGGAGCAAGGGACAAGAUGUUGGGGGGGCAGGGUGGGGGGGAAGAGUAGAAGAUCAAAGUGUGGGGGUGUUGGACUUGGGGGAGCAUGGGAAGAGCUCAGGUGACAGAGCCAAAGGUCUCAACUCCUCCCCUAGCUUCUCCAGGCAGCCACCAACUACCACAACGGGCACACAGG
rnacentral:sRNA from 1 species